rnacentral:rRNA from 1 species
UACGUAGGGGGCAAGCGUUGUCCGGAUUUAUUGGGCGUAAAGAGCGUGUAGGCGGCCAUUCAGGUCAGCUGUGAAAACUCGAGGCUCAACCUCGAGACGUCGGUUGAAACCGUUUGGCUAGAGUCCGGAAGAGGAGAGUGGAAUUCCCGGUGUAGCGGUGAAAUGCGCAGAUAUCGGGAAGAACACCCGUGGCGAAGGACGGCUCUCUGGGACGGUACUGACGCCGAGACGCGAAAGCGUGGGGAGCGAACGAGG